GAUGAAGAACGUAGCGAAAUGCGAUAAGUAAUUUGAAUUGCAGAAUUCAGUGAAUCAUCGAAUCUUUGAACGCACCUUGCGCCUUUUGGUAUUCCGAAAGGCACACCUGUUUGAGCGUCAUGAAUACCUCAAUCUCCAUCUUUUCUUCGGAUUGAUGGGUGACUUGGAUGUUGAGCCCUGCUGGUAUGCUAUAUCAGCUGGCUUUAAACUUAUUAGCCGGCUCUGUACUGGAUCGGUUUGACUCGACGUGAUAAUAUUAUCGUUGAGGAUGCAUGUCUCAUGCAGCCGGAAAGUAUCAAAGCAGCUUCUAGCUUGCCUUUAGUGCACUUUUACAUUUUAGACCUCAGAUCAGGUGGGACUACCCGCUGAACUUAAGCAUAUCAAUAAGCGGAGGA
rnacentral:misc_RNA from 1 species